GUGGGCCUGCGUCCGACAGCGCGCGGCCGUGCUUUCUAAGCGGGCUCGGCAGCACCAGACUUCACCGGCCCGGCGCGGGGCUCACAAGUGCUCGCACUCCCUGCGGCCGGCGCGCUGACCGGAGCCUCUGGGUCUCGCACGCAGCAGCUGCAGACGCUGCCCGGCGCGGUGGGGCUGUGAGCAAAACGGCCCGCCGGUGUGGUUGCCCAGACUGUGCUGGGCCCUCCUAGGUGGAUGGCCCUGCCCCAGCCUAACUUCUGUACCCCAGCAUAACCUCCAAAGUAACAGCCGUGCCCUGGGAGCCUGUUCAACACUGAACAUAUCCCACAAUAACACUGUUCCAGCGUCGCUGGUAAAAAGCAGAAAUGGCUUCGCUGGAGGCAUCGACAAAUCUAAUGCAGUAACCUCAUUUUACAGAAGAGAACUCUAAGAGGAUAACUAACUUGGCCAAGAUCACAUGAUGUUUCUGGAUGAGAUUAGCAUUCAAAUUCGUGGACUCAUUAAAGUAGAUGGCUCUCUCCAAUAUGGGUGGGCAUCAUCCAAUCUGUUGAAGGCGUGAAGAGAACAAGAGAAGGAGGAAGGAAGAAUUCACCUUUUUUCUUGCUGCCCACCUGCUUGGGCUGGGACAUUGCAUCUCACCUUCUCCAGCCUUUGGAUGAGGAUUUACACCCUGGUUCUCAGGCCUUCAGGCUCUAACUGGAGCUACACUAUCAACUUUCCUGGGCCUCCAGAUUGCAGAUGGUGGAUCACGGUACUUUUUAGCCUCCAUCAUAAUAUGAGAAAAAAGAGGCACAGUGAAGCUAAAUAUAUUGGCUAAAGAUCACAAAGCUAAGAAGAUUAUCAAGGUUAUCUGUGCUCAAUGUGUGCAUCUCAGAUCAGCAGCAUCAGCAUCACCUGGGAGCUUGUUAGAGCUGGAGACUCUCAGGCUCCACGGCAGACUUCCUGAAUCAGAAGCUACAAUUUAACAGGAUCCUCGGGUGAUCUGAAAAUGCAAUAAAGUUUGGGAAGCACUGCUGUUGGUCAUUAGACAAUCUAAUGAACUAAGACUUUUGCCGAGCAUCUGAGUUGAAAUUUUUCAAGAUGAAAAGUUGCUAAAGAAAGAGAAAGGGAAGCGGUUUGCUCCAGUAUUCCUCUUUCCACCUUCCCACUGACUGGGAAGCGGCGGUUAGCAGAGCCACAGUCUUGGAUUAGAGAUAAGAGGGACAUGUUGAGGAAGGUGGAGUCUCCCCCACAGCCCUGGACCAGGCUCCAGUGCCAACAAAAGCCAAGAAGAACCUCUGGAGCAAUCAGUCUCUCUGCUGAGGGAGUGCAUUUUGCUUCCAGCACAGUGCUCAACUCACACAGUUCCCAUGGAAACCCAGGGGCUACAGAGGUGUCUAGACCCUGUUUGGCACUCUAACCAGAAGUAUUCCCAGAGACUACAAGCACACUGCACACCUUGGCUCAGUUUCAAACUGGAGACAGGCAGAGAAAGAAAGAUCUUCCUCCCCUACUUUCCCGGGGAGGUCUUGAGGAGACUUCCUUUUUGUUAGUUGUUUCCAAAUUGUCCCUAUCUGAGUGGUUCUCAAACAGUGGGUCUUCGCGUGGUCAUGAAGGGCCUGCAAGAAGAUAAGGGCACCAAGCGUGGCCUGUGGCUGAGAUAAAUGAAGCAUCUCUCAUAUAUGUGUUAUGAUUUUUCAAGUAAAUGAGGUUGCUAUUGGGCUUAAUUAAAAUAAAAACUAAUUUAAGAGCAAUGCUACAUAGCUUUUUGCCAUGAUGUAUUUUUGUAACCAGUGAUUAUGAAAACUACUGCCACUCUCACGUGGGGAAUGGCGGAAUUGUUUACUGUGAAACUCUGCUCUUACAUGCAAGGCUGGGAACCCCUGCUUACUUCCAGAGGAGUAGGGCUGCGAUAUGCAGCUGAUGAUGUUCUCUUCUUUAUGUUGCUUACAG
rnacentral:lncRNA from 1 species